AGUGAACGCUGGCGGUAGGCCUAACACAUGCAAGUCGAACGGCAGCACAGUAAGAGCUUGCUCUUACGGGUGGCGAGUGGCGGACGGGUGAGGAAUACAUCGGAAUCUACUUUUUCGUGGGGGAUAACGUAGGGAAACUUACGCUAAUACCGCAUACGACCUACGGGUGAAAGCAGGGGAUCUUCGGACCUUGCGCGAUUGAAUGAGCCGAUGUCGGAUUAGCUAGUUGGCGGGGUAAAGGCCCACCAAGGCGACGAUCCGUAGCUGGUCUGAGAGGAUGAUCAGCCACACUGGAACUGAGACAGGGUCAAGACUCGGAAGAGAGGAAGCAGUCGGGAAUAUUGGACAAGGGGGGCGAGCCUGAUCCAGCAAUACCGCGUAAGUGAAGAAGGCCUUCGGGUUGUAAAGCCCUUUUGUUGGGAAAGAAAAGCAGCAGGUUAAUACCCCACUGUUCUGACGGUACCCAAAGAAUAAGCACCGGCUAACUUCGUG
rnacentral:rRNA from 1 species